GACGAACGCUGGCGGCGUGCUUAACACAUGCAAGUCGAACGGAAAGGCCCUGCUUUUGUGGGGUGCUCGAGUUGCGAACGGGUGAGUAACACGUGAGUAACCUGCCCUUGACUUUGGGAUAACUUCAGGAAACUGGGGCUAAUACCGGAUAGGAGCUCCUGCUGCAUGGUGGGGGUUGGAAAGUUUCGGCGGUUGGGGAUGGACUCGCGGCUUAUCAGCUUGUUGGUGGGGUAGUGGCUUACCAAGGCUUUGACGGGUAGCCGGCCUGAGAGGGUGACCGGCCACGUUGGGACUGAGAUGCGGCCCAGACUCCUACGGGAGGCAGCAGUGGGGAAUAGUGCACAAUGGGCGGAAGCCUGAUGCAGCAACGCCGCGUGCGGGAUGACGGCCUUCGGGUUGUAAACCGCUGUCGCCUGUGACGAAGCGUGAGUGACGGUAAUGGGUAAAGAAGCACCGGCUAACUACGUG
rnacentral:rRNA from 1 species